GAUGAACGCUGGCGGCGUGCUUAACACAUGCAAGUCGAACGGUGAACGAGGGAGCUUGCUCCCUCCGGAUCAGUGGCGAACGGGUGAGUAACACGUGAGCAAUCUGCCCUGGACUCUGGGAUAAGCGUUGGAAACGACGUCUAAUACCGGAUACGAGGCGUGGGGGCAUCCCCAACGCCUGGAAAGAACUUCGGUCCAGGAUGAGCUCGCGGCCUAUCAGCUAGUUGGUGAGGUAACGGCUCACCAAGGCGACGACGGGUAGCCGGCCUGAGAGGGUGACCGGCCAAACUGGGACUGAGACACGGCCCAGACUCCUACGGGCGGCAGCAGUGGGGAAUAUUGCACAAUGGGCGCAAGCCUGAUGCAGCAACGCCGCGUGAGGGACGACGGCCUUCGGGUUGUAAACCUCUUUUAGCAGGGAAGAAGCGAAAGUGACGGUACCUGCAGAAAAAGCACCGGCUAACUACGUGCCAGCCGCCGCCGCGGUAA
rnacentral:rRNA from 1 species